rnacentral:rRNA from 1 species
AACGAACGCUGGCGGCAGGCCUAACACAUGCAAGUCGAGCGCCCCGCAAGGGGAGCGGCGGACGGGUGAGUAACAGGUGGGAAUUUUCCUCAAGGUACGGAACAACUCAGGGAAACUUGGGCUAAUACCGUAUGAUGCAGAGAUGCCAAAGAUUUAUCGCCUUGGGAUAAGCCCGCGUCAGAUUAGGUAGUUGGUGGGGUAAUGGCCUACCAAGCCUGUGAUCUGUAGCUGGUCUGAGAGGACGAUCAGCCACAUUGGGACUGAGACACGGCCCAAACUCCUACGGGAGGCAGCAGUGGGGAAUCUUGCGCAAUGGACGAAAGUCUGACGCAGCCAUGCCGCGUGUAUGAUGAAGGUCUUAGGAUUGUAAAGUUCUUUAGCCUGCGACGAUGAUGACGGUAACAGGAGAAUAAGCCCCGGCUAACUUCGUGCCAGCAGCCGCCGUAA